rnacentral:rRNA from 1 species
UACGUAGGGGGCAAGCGUUGUCCGGAAUUAUUGGGCGUAAAGAGCUCGUAGGCGGUUUGUCGCGUCGAAUGUGAAAACCCGGGGCUCAACCCCGGGCCUGCAUUCGAUACGGGCAGACUAGAGUUCGGUAGGGGAGUCUGGAAUUCCUGGUGUAGCGGUGAAAUGCGCAGAUAUCAGGAGGAACACCGGUGGCGAAGGCGGCCGACUGGGCCGACCCUGACGCUGAGGCGCGAAGGCGUGGGGAGCGAACGGG